rnacentral:tRNA from 1 species
GUGGUGGAAUUGGUAGACACGCACGCUUGAGGGGCGUGUGCCGCAAGGUGUAAGGGUUCGAGUCCCUUCCUGAGCACCA